CUAACCUACCAGUGGUGACAGCACUGUACGACGUUCAACCAGAGACAGAGAAAGACCUGAACGACUGCAGUAUGCACGUCUUGGCAGUCCUCUGGUAUCUGUUGUUCAAGCUCUGUUGCAAGGCUUGAGCACGGCCCUCACUGAUGUUUUAUUGGAAGCCGAACAGACUAACCUGAACUCAUCCUUCAAACCUGUUACCGGACAGUAGUUCCCAUGCACAGAGGCGUGCAUAAAUUCAAGAGGGAAGGGUGUAACCCAGGUUAAAAAUCUGUAUUAAAAGCACUAAAUUAGUUCAUUGCAAGACAAAGAUGUUUAUUAAGAAAAGUGAAAUUCAUGGUUAAAAAUCAAUUCAUAAAUACUAUGUUUGGUUAAUUAAAAACAGAUGUUAAUCUAAAAGGAGUGAUAGAGCCGUAAUAAAAUACUCAAGUAAAUAAAGAGUUUUAGUUUGAAGGAGAGAAGAGUAGGACACGGUCUGUCAUCCAAUCAGAAAGCAAGCCCGCCUAUUGACCUGAUCGGCGCAGGUUCACUUCCUCUGAAGCUGCUGGAAGGAGCGAGAGCUAGCCGCAUCGAAAAGACAACAUUCACCGUGGAAGAAACUAAAUCAUAAAAGUGGAUAAAACUCGAAUAAAACCAUCAGCGAAAUCUCCCGGGACGACCAGGACCUGUGUGAGCGCAGUGGAGGAACCUCUCGGGAAGAGAAACGCAUCGGUCAGGUUUUUGGAUACCCUGAGAAUUGGACCUACCAGGAUAUUGGAGCCAGUGGAUGUGGAUGGCGAGCCAAAACCCGGAGGAUAAAUUGAAGAGUCGACGCCGCGGAACCUGAAUCCUUUUUGUCACUUUUACACAUACAUACACACCACCCACGGAGUGAUUGAACUGAGAUCGAAAAAAAGGUUGAACUGAACUAUAUAGAAACGCAGCUGCAAAACUUUAUUUUGUUUUUUAUUUUUCAUACUUACCCGGGUAAGAGUUGUUGUUAUUUGUUAAUUAAUGUGUUUUUACAGCUUUCCCAUCUUGAAUAAAUAGGGAAGUGCUGCUAUUUCUUAAAAAGAAA